UGGGGAAUCUUCCGCAAUGGACGAAAGUCUGACGGAGCAACGCCGCGUGAGUGAAGAAGGUUUUCGGAUCGUAAAACUCUGUCUUUUGGGGCGAACGUGAGUAUGGUGAACAAUCAUAGUCAGUGACGGUACCAAAGGAGGAAGCCACGGCUAACUACGUGCCAGCAGCCGCGGUAAUACGUAGGUGGCAAGCGUUGUCCGGAAUUAUUGGGCGUAAAGAGCGCGUAGGCGGGAUAGUCAGUCUGUUGUAAAGUGCGGGGCUCAACCCCGUGAUCGCAAUGGAAACAGCUAUUCUUGAGUGCAGGAGAGGAAAGUGGAAUUCCCAGUGUAGCGGUGAAAUGCGUAGAUAUUGGGAGGAACACCAGUGGCGAAGGCGACUUUCUGGACUGUGUCUGACGCUGAGGCGCGAAAGCCAGGGGGAGGCGAACGGGAUUAGAUACCCCCGGUAGUCCUGGCCGUAAAACCGAUGGGGUACUAGGUGUGGGAGGUAUCGACCCCUUUCCGUGCCGGAGUUAACGCAAUAAGUACCCCGCCUGGGGAGUACGGUCGCAAGACUGAAACUCAAAUGAAUUGACGGGGGUCAUAGCUGUUUCCUG
rnacentral:rRNA from 1 species